rnacentral:rRNA from 1 species
CGGGACACGUGGUAUCCUGUCUGAAUAUGGGGGGACCAUCCUCCAAGGCUAAAUACUCCUGACUGACCGAUAGUGAACCAGUACCGUGAGGGAAAGGCGAAAAGAACCCCGGCGAGGGGAGUGAAAAAGAACCUGAAACCGUGUACGUACAAGCAGUGGGAGCACGCUUAGGCGUGUGACUGCGUACCUUUUGUAUAAUGGGUCAGCGACUUAUAUUCUGUAGCAAGGUUAACCGAAUAGGGGAGCCGAAGGGAAACCGAGUCUUAACUGGGCGUUAAGUUGCAGGGUAUAGACCCGAAACCCGGUGAUCUAGCCAUGGGCAGGUUGAAGGUUGGGUAACACUAACUGGAGGACCGAACCGACUAAUGUUGAAAAAUUAGCGGAUGACUUGUGGCUGGGGGUGAAAGGCCAAUCAAACCGGGAGAUAGCUGGUUCUCCCCGAAAGCUAUUUAGGUAGCGCCUCGUGAAUUCAUCUCCGGGGGUAGAGCACUGUUUCGGCAAGGGGGUCAUCCCGACUUACCAACCCGAUGCAAACUGCGAAUACCGGAGAAUGUUAUCACGGGAGACACACGGCGGGUGCUAACGUCCGUCGUGAAGAGGGAAACAACCCAG